UAUUCAACUCUGCCUAUCUGGCCUGGUUGCACUCUCUGAGGAUAUAAAAAUCAGAAAUUGCUACCAGGUUGGAUGUGCUUGGUUGGGUC
rnacentral:pre_miRNA from 1 species